GAUGAAGAACGUAGCGAAAUGCGAUACGUAAUGUGAAUUGCAGAAUUCAGUGAAUCAUCGAAUCUUUGAACGCAUAUUGCGCUCUCUGGUAUUCCGGAGAGCAUGCUUGUUUGAGUAUCAGUAAACACCUCAACUCUUUUUUCUUUUUUGAAAUUGGAGUUGGACUUGAGUGAUCCCAACGCUUUCUUCCAAGAAAGUGGCGGGUUGCUUGAAAUGCAGGUGCAGCUGAACUUUUCUCUGAGCUAUAAGCAUAUCUAUUUAGUCUGCCUAAAAAACAGAUUAUUACCUUUGCUGCAGCUAACAUAAAGGAGACUAGUUCUUGUGCUGACUGAUGCAGGAUUCACAGAGACAGCUUCGGCUGACUUUGUAAACUCGAUCUCAAAUCAAGUAAGACUACCCGCUGAACUUAAGCAUAUCAAUAAGCGGAGGA
rnacentral:misc_RNA from 1 species